GACGAUGAAAGUGCGUGGUGACGGUUGCUGGUGGACAGUUUUCCCUCCUCGCGGAUGAAGCUAAGCUGAUGUUCAGGCAAACUCACUUCCUUCGCUGAACAUUUUGGACUCUGUGGCUUCACCACUGCUGGAGGACGGCGAACAGAGAGACCGGACACCGCUAACGAAGACUUAUGCGGUCCUGCUAGCAGGCCAACAUGUUCAACAAGUCGUUUGGUACUCCCUUUGGUGGAGGGACGGGAGGGUUUGGAACCUCAUCAACCUUUGGUCAGCAAAACACAGGCUUUGGGACACCGGGAGGCUUUGGGACGUCUGCAUUCGGGACGACCACCAACACCGGAGGACUGUUUGGUUCCACACAGAAUAAACCAGGUGGUCUUUUCGGCUCCAGUACCUUCAGCCAACCAGCGACUUCCUCCACCAGCACCGGCUUCGGUUUUGGUGCAGCCAGCGGCACGUCCACCAGCCUGUUUGGCAACACUGGAACGGGCACCAGCGGCGGACUUUUCUCCCAGCAGAACAAUGCCUUCGGUGCCAACAAACCCACCUCUUUUGGAAGCUUUGGGACGAGCACCAGCAGCGGUGGCCUGUUCGGGUCCACCAACACCACCUCCAACCCUUUCGGUGGAACCAACUCGUUGUUCGGAGGCUCCGGGUUUUCUGCCGCACAGCAGCCAGGAACCACCGUGAAAUUCAACCCCCCAACUGGAAGUGACACGAUGGUAAAAGCAGGAGUGACCACGAGCAUCAACACGAAGCACCAGUGCAUCACCGCCAUGAAGGAGUACGAGAACAAGUCCUUGGAGGAGUUGAGGCUGGAGGACUACCAGGCGGGCAGGAAAGGUCCGACCAACCCGAUGGCUCCAGGGACCGGCGGCCUGUUUGGUCCGGCCACCGCCACAUCCAGCGCCACCACCGGCCUGUUCGGCUCCGCGGCCCCCAACACCAGCUUCUCUUUCGGCCAGAACAAGAGCACCUUUGGAGGCGCAGCCACCGGCGGCUUCGGUACGACCACAGGAGGUCUGUUCGGCGGUCAGACGCAGCAGCAAGCCAGCAGCCUCUUCAAGCCGUUCGGUCAGACCACCACCGCCGCUCAGAGCACCGGCUUCUCCUUCGGCAACACCAACACCAUGGGACAGGCCAACACCAGCAGCAUGGGUUUGUUUGGGAACACGGCAGCGUCUCAGUCCAGCGGCCUGUUCGGCACGGCUCAGACCAGCACCGCCACCGGUUUUGGGACGGCCACCGGGCUGUUCGGUCAAACCAACACUGGGUUUGGAAACGUGGGCACGCAGCAGAGUCUGUUCGGGACUAAGACGGCCGGGUUCGGCACCACCACCACCAGUGCUCCGUCCUUUGGCACCGGGCUGUUUGGAAACAAGCCGGCUCUCACACUGGGAACCGGAACCAACACCUCCACCUUCGGUUUUGGGGCGACCCCUCCUGGAGGGAAUCUGUUUGGGAACAAGUCGACCACCGGGGGACUGGGGACCGGACUGGGAACCAGCUUUGGAACAGCAGUGGGCACAGGACAGACUCUGUUUGCGAACAACCAGAACAAACUGGGCACCACACUGGGAACGAUGGGAACGUUCGGAACGACGGGAUUCAACAGCGGAACGAGCACGCUGGGCUUCGGAGCGCCACAGCAGCCCGUCGCCCUCACAGAUCCAAACGCUGCUGCCGCCCAGCAGGCCAUGCUUCAGCAGCAGCUCAGCGUUCUGGCCUACUCACCGUACGGAGACUCGCCUCUGUUCAGAAACCCGCUGUCAGACCCCAAGAAGAAGGAGGAGCGUCUGAAACCAACCAAUCCGACGGCUCAGAAGGCCCUGACCACGCCCACCCACUACAAGCUGACGCCCCGUCCUGCGACCAGAGUCCGGCCCAAAGCGCUGACGUCUUCGGGCGGCUCCAAGUCGCAGCUGUUCGACGGCCUGGAUGACGAUGAGCCGUCGCUCACCAACGGAGCCUUCAUCCCGAGGAAGAGCAUAAAGAAGCUGGUGCUGAAGAACCUGAACAGCAGUCAGUACAACAGUCCGAUUAACAAAGAGAGCGACGACCUGGCCUCGCCCCCAGAGUAUCCACAGAACGGACACAGCCAUGUGGAGGAGGAGGAGGAGCUGAGGGAGGCUCCGGGACCCAGCAGCCGGCCAGACGACGACCCGGAGGUCACCCACUUCUACGUGAACCCCAUCGCCAAGCCGAUCCCUCAGGGCCGAGCCCAGACCAGCCUGCAGGACACCAUCAGCGACCUGAACAUGCACAAACCGUCCAGGAACGGCCUGGAGCUGAGCAGCGAUGACGUGUCGGCGUCUCUGGGAGAAGAAUCUCUGCAGGAGGAGAGGGAGGAGGAGCAGCCGGAGUCCCAGCAGUCUCCUCAUCCUGCAGGCAUCGUUCUGAACCGUGUGGGUUAUUACACAAUCCCCUCCAUGGACGACCUCGCUGAGAUGGUGGACGAGAACGGAGAGUGUGUCGUAGAAAACUUCACCAUCGGCAGGAAAGGUUACGGCUCCAUCUUCUUCCCUGGCGAGGUGAACGUGACGGGACUGAACCUCGACGAGAUUGUCCACUUCAGACGUAAAGAGGUGAUCGUGUACCCAGAUGACAAGAACAAGCCUCCAGAGGGGGAGGGGCUUAACAGGCGAGCAGAGGUGACUCUGGACGGCGUCUGGCCCAACGACAAGACGACCUGCACUCAGAUCAGGAGCCCUGAACGCCUCACCGACAUGAACUACGAGGGCCGGCUGGAGAAGGCCUCGCGCAAACAGGGAGCCCGUUUCCUCGAGUACCGGCCCGAGACCGGCUCCUGGGUGUUCGAGGUGGCCCAUUUCUCCAAAUAUGGCCUCCAGGACUCGGAUGAAGACGAGGACGUGCCGCCUAAAGCCGACCCCAAGAAGCUGAAGACGACGAUGACUCUUCCUCCCUCCAGGCUGCAGCAGCAGAUUCCCCCCUCCCAGCAGCAGGUGGCGCCACAGGCUCAGUCCACGGUCGUCGUGGAUCUUCCGGGCGGCGUCUCGGAGCUGGACAGCGACAUGGCCGACAUCACCCAGAGCUUUCCGACAGACGGCAUGCUGGGAGGAGAGGAGGAUGGCGACCUGCCAGCGAGUGAAAUGGACACGACGGCCAGGAAGCUCGGAGGAUUCACGUCUGCAGAGCAUGACGGCGUCUCCACGUCCGGACACAUCGCGUCUUCGUUUGGCAUCAAUCCGCACACGCUCCAGAUCAUGAAGGCGUCUCUGUUCGCUGAGGAUGAGGAUGACAGCGACAUGUUCCAGGAUCAGGCAGCGAUGAAGGUUUCCGCUGAUGUCUCGUCUCCCCGCCUCGUCCUGCCGGGAGCUCACGGCCGACCCUCUGUCGGCGGUCUCCUUCAGGCUCGUUUCACCUCCGGCCUCCUCUCUCAGCUCUCGGACUCUCCCUGCCCUCCUCUGCCGUUGUCUCGGGCGUCUCCGUCAGUGAUCGAACCCGCCCGCUCGCUGCAGUGGGCGGGGCCUGGACCUUCCUCCUUCCUGGUUCCUCCCAGGACUCCGGAGCCUUCGAUCAGGACGGUCGGCGUCCGGCGGCUGGGUGGCCCCGUCCCCAUGAAGGAGUCGGUCACUCAGGGGAAGGGAGCUUUGCUGAUGGACACUGGGCUGUUUGCGGUCCGUUCCUUCCGGGUCGGGUGGGGUCCUGGCUGGACGCUGGCUCACUGCGGCAGCCGGCUGAGUUCACCAACAUCCAAACAGCUGGAGUACCAAGACCUGGCAUCCAAGACCGACUUCAGCUUCCUGCCUAAACCUGCCAGGAGCAAACCACUGACAGAAAGCCCCUAUAAGGUGGUGGUGGAGCAGCUGGUGGGUCUGGAGCCUCCACAGGGGAAGACCGGCGAGGAGGAGGAGGAUGAAGAGAGCCAGGCGGUGCUGCAGCGCCCCCUGGAGAUCUGCCUGAAGCACAGCACCAUCAGCACCCCUGAUGCCUCCGCCUGCCCGCUGGUGCGACCGCAGCUUGGCGUGGCGGCGCUGCACGAGUAUGCCGAGUGGAUCACCGAGCUGAACGACAAGCAGGGAGACGCAGACCCCCUCCUGGGUCACUGGGCCGAGGUCUGGACCCUGUGUGAGGCUCUGUGGGGCCGGCUGGGCCCCUCGGAUCAGGAGCCCGACGUCGAGGCGCCCAGCGACUACGAGCAGCAGCUGGAGAGGCGGCGGACCUUCUCUGCCUGGCUGUCCCACGGCGCCACCUGCAGGGUGGAGGAGGAGGUGGCUCUGGUGGGGAAGGGGCGCCACACGGAGGCCAUGUUCAGCUACCUGACAGGAAACCGCAUCAGCGAGGCGUGUCGACUCGCUCAGAAGGAAGGAGACCACCGUCUAUCCCUGCUGCUGUCCCAGGCCAUGGGCUCUCAGUACUGCCGGGACCUCCUGGCCCUCCAGCUGGCCGACUGGAACCGCAUGCAGACCGACUGCUACCUGCCAGAAGAACGACUUCGCAUCUUCACGCUGCUCGCUGGCAAACCUGUGUGGCAGUCGUCUGAGUCGGUGGUGAACGUUUGCUCUGAGUUGGACUGGAAGCGCUGCGUGGCCGUCCACCUCUGGUUCAUGCUGCCUCCCACCGCCUCUGUGGCCGACGCCCUCGCCAGAUACGAAGCCGCCUUUCAGGGCUCCUGUGAGAGCGGAAAAUACGCCUGCGCCCCUCUACCGCCCUACUUAGAGGCAGAUCAGCCAGAUUCAGAGGAGGAGGAGGAGUCCAAACGGCCGCUGUACGACAUCUGCUUCCACCUGCUCAAACUCUACAGCGACAGACAUUACAGCCUGCAGCAGCUGUUGGAUCCUCUCACCGUCACCUGGGAGCGUCUGGACUACCGCCUCAGCUGGCACCUGUGGGGCGUCCUGCAGGCGCUGCACUACGGACACCUGAGCUCCUCUCGGCAGGGACUCCUCCACACCAGCUACGCCGCCCAGCUGGAGAGCGCCGGCCUCUGGCACAUGGCCGUCUUCAUCCUGCUGCACAUCCCCGACCACAGCCAGCGGGAGCGAGCCGUGAGGGAGAUGCUGACCCUCCACUGCCCCCUGCAGGAGACGGACGAGUCGGUCCGCAGAGAGCGCUUCCUGACCGAGAGGCUGCUGGUCCCGGAGCGCUGGAUCCACGAGGCCAAGGCCACCCGGGCCCGACGCGACGCCGACCGGCACCAGCAGGCGCUGCACCUGUACCGGGCCGGAUACUGGAACCAGUGCCAUCGCCUGCUCAUCCAGCACCUGGCCUCAGACUGCAUCAUCAACGACAACCACGACUACCUGCUGGAGUUCCUGGAGGGUCUGGCGGUCCCUGAACACAGCGCCACCAUCCAGGACUGGGACACUGCAGGGAGGGUUUACCUGGACUACAUCAGGGUCAUCAAGACUCUGCAGGACAUCCAGCAGAUGGAGAGCGCCGGCUACGAGCUGGAGCGUCUCUACACCGACGUGACGUCUCUCUGCAGCAGAAUCGAGCUGCUGCCCUGCAGCACCGCCAGAGACCGGCUCGCCCAAUCAGAAAUGGCGAAGCGUGUGGCGAACAUCCUCCGUGUGGUUCUGAGCCUCCAGCAGGGCGACGCUUCGUCCGACUCGCUCGGCGUCCCGCUGGCUCAGCUGGCGCCACACAUCAGCCGCCUGCCGAUGCCGGAGGACUACACCCUGGAGGAGCUGCGAGGCCUCACCCAGUCCUACCUGAGGCAGCUCAUCGUCAGCCAAUGACAGCGCAGAGCAGGAAGUGAUGUCACACCGGUGCAAACGGGAAGACGGUCUUAGCCGCUCGAACGUCAUGAAACCACGACGCAGAGUUCAAGGAAAAGAGCGUCUAAACAGAAAGUUUAGUUCAGUUUUAGACGCCGUCAACAGGAAGUGACUGGAUUUCAAAUUAAGGUUCUAGUGAGGGAUCAGCUGAGGCACCUCACAGUUUGAUGCUGCUGUAGAUCAGUGGUUCUCAUUGGAGAACAGAGUCCAGCAGAAAACAAACAGGUGGUGAAAUGUCUCAUUUUAUCCAAACAACCAUUAAAGACAAAGUAAAUCUUCUAUUUUUCUUGAGUUCCUCCAAAUAUUAUUUAAGUCAAACAACCAAAAAGAAACACUCCUGUGUAGAACUCGUGGCUGCUGGUUUCCUCCCAUUUCUGAUUGAAAAUCAUCCUGAAAGCAUGAAGACUGUUGAUUUAGAGCAGGAAGUUUGGAAACAUUCAGCACAAAAAGGCCUCAGAGGUCAUUAUCAAAGUCUUCAUUGAUUUAGAAACGUGUCUGAAAACAUCACAUCUGGAAUCAUAAUCUCUAAGUAGGAUGGAAGAAUCAACGUCAGGUUUGUUUUCUUUGGUUUGCUGCUGUUUUAGUGAUGUUCGUUGGAAUUAUUGUGAAAUGAAGCCAAGAAACCGUCAGAGGAAGGAGAUCUAAGCAUCAGUCUGAAAAUCCUGUUUUUGUUAAGCUUUUGUUGAAUUGAUUUCAUUUAGAUUUGUCGAUAAUUACAGCAGCACUAAACUGAACAGCAACACAUUUAAAACCACCUAACUGACUGUAAAUGUUCUUCAUGUCGCUGAUUUUCAUUCUGUGCAGAAACCAAAGUAAAACCUCCAGAACGCUGUGAGGCCUCCGGGUUAACAGAAAACAAACUGAAACAUGAAACUGCAGCUUGGAUUUAAACCACAUUUACUCUCAUUUCCAGGUUUAUUAUUUGGAAGUUCUCGUCGAUAACAGGAGCGCGUUUUUUUUUUCUCCUCUGCCUGUUUGAAAAGUGUCGUCAUAUCUUCAGAAUAAAAGUACCAGAUGUACUCGUUCGACUCUAAACAAAGAGCUGCGUUCUUGAUCACCGCCACUGACUCGGUUUCAUUCCAAGUGAAUAAAAGCGUCCGUUAGCUUAGCAACGGUAGCUCCUGUUCAUCUGUCCAUAUGUGAAUAGAGACGACCUGUAAGGUUAAAGAAGAAGAAGCGGUGAUGGUUCCUCAACAUGCAAAGUGUAAAAUGGUCUAUUUUUGUAGAUUUCCUGUUUUUUGUUUGGUCUGAAUGUGAACCAGAAGUGAGCAGCAGCAGUUUGGUCGUCAGGUUUUCUAAAGUGAAGAGUUUCCUUCCAAAACGAGCUGCCAGCCGGAGAUUUCACUGCAUGUAAUUAUAUAAAUAUUGUAUAUUUUUGGAACUCAAACGGGGAACGUCAGGUCAUUUUUAUCCUCUACCUUUAAUUAGCAGCAAAUUGGAUGCAAAGUCUUUUGAAAUGAAACCCUUCACUUAUCCAUGGUUUGGUUUUGUUGUAGAUUAAGUGUCGGCUUGCCAAGAAUGUGCUUUUGUUGUUUUUUCUUUUCAUUUUCACGGUUUCUCUAUAUGAUGUCAAACAGUGUGUGUGUCGUUCACAUGGAUGGAUUCUGUUUUGUGUGUGUGUGGCUGCGUGCAUGUCAGGAUUCUGUUGGUAUUUUUUAAUAAAGGCAAGUAGAAAUAAA